rnacentral:rRNA from 1 species
CCUACGGGCGGCAGCAGUGGGGGAUAUUGCACAAUGGGGGGAACCCUGAUGCAGCGACGCCGCGUGGGUGAAGAAGCGCCUCGGCGCGUAAAGCCCUGUCAGCAGGGAAGAAAAUGACGGUACCUGAAGAAGAAGCCCCGGCUAACUACGUGCCAGCAGCCGCGGUAAUACGUAGGGGGCAAGCGUUAUCCGGAUUUACUGGGUGUAAAGGGGGCGCAGACGGCGAUGCAAGCCAGGAGUGAAAGCCCGGGGGCCAACCCCGGGACUGCUCUUGACACUGCGUGGCUGGAGUGCAGGAGGGGCAGGCGGAAUUCGUGGUGUAGCGGUGAAAUGCGUAGAUAUAAGGAGGAACACCGGUGGCGAAGGCGGCCUGCUGGACUGCAACUGACGUUGAGGCCCGAAAGCGUGGGGAGCAAACAGGAUUAGAUACCCUUGUAGUC